rnacentral:sRNA from 1 species
CUUCACUGUAGUUUCUUUUGUCUGAAUUGUGGAGGGACAGAUGGAGUGAGGAGGUGGAGGAAUUGAAAGAGAGAGAGAGAAGAAUAUAAUUGAUGGCAAAUGAGUGCUUACCCCUGGUGAUGCACUGGUGCGUGAAACAGACACAGAGCUCCUGUUCUUCGCUCUUAGUUUGGACAAUGAACCCUCAGCAGAGUCAGCUCUCUCCUCGGCGUC